rnacentral:lncRNA from 1 species
AAAAUAUCUUUUUAUUUUUAUGGUAUUAGAGCAACUCCACGAUACCAGUGGAACCCUUUAGCCUCGUUGACAUGGCCUCUCCCAACUCUAUUCUUAACAUCACCAUUUUAUCCCAAAUGAUGAUACUAGUACCCAAAAAACUAACCUCAAAAAAACUAUCUGCUUUGGAGUGAUCAAAUGUAUCCACUCAUUGAUAGUGUUGAACUCCUUUCUCAUGUGACCGGAGAUGUUGAACCA